GUAGUGGCCCAGAAUGACCAGGGACGGGUGGAAGGCGAAGGAGCUGCCACAACCAAAGAGGAUUCCGUAGGUGAAGUAGCGGACCUCCAGGGACCUGUGGAAAAGAAGAGGACCAAAAUAGGGUUUGGUUGGUUGCUGUGCCAUAGAAACACAGGAAAAGAAGAGAUCCUUUAUUGGGUGUUGAUUAGAAGCGUGGAAUUAGGUGGGACCAUGAUGGAAAAAGGUAUUGUUUGUUUAUUUAUUAGAGGUUUUUAAAUCCCACCUUUAUUACUUUAUAAGUAUCUCAAGGUGGUGAAUGAACCUAAUACUUCUACGUUUUCCCCACAAAACAAUCCUGUAAGGUGGGUUGGGCUGAGAGAGAGUGACUGGCUCAAAGUCACCCAACUGACUUUUGUGCCUAAGGUGGGACUUGAACUCAUGUCUCCUGGUUGCUAAGGCAGCAUUUUUACCACUACACCAAACUGGCUCUUUGGUUUUGGUUGUUUACUCUUUUGUGCUUUUAAAAUUGUCUCUGUUUUGCUGAUGCACGAUUUCACCUGCUUUUCUUAAAAUAUACAAAAGUAAAUAAAUACCAGUGAUUUCCCAAG